rnacentral:rRNA from 1 species
AGGUUAAGCUAAUAAGAGCACACGGAGGAUGCCUAGGCGCCAGGAGCCGACGAAGGACGUGGCGAACAACGAAACUGCCUCGGGGAGCUGUAAGCAAGCUUUGAUCCGGGGGUGUCCGAAUGGGGAAACCCAGCUGUGGUAAUUCGCAGUUACUCAUACCUGAAUACAUAGGGUGUGUAGAGGCAGACCAGGGGAACUGAAACAUCUAAGUACCCUGAGGAAGAGAAAACAAUAGUGAUUCCGUCAGUAGCGGCGAGCGAACGCGGAACAGCCUAAACCUAAGAGCUUGCUCUUAGGGGUUGUGGGACGUCUCACAUGGAGUUACAAAGGAAUAUGGUAGGUGAAGAGGUCUGGAAAGGCCCGCGAUAGAGGUAAAAGCCCUGUAACCUAAACUGUGUUCUCUCCGAGACGGAUCCCGAGUAGUGCGGGGCACGUGAAACCCCGUAUGAAUCCAGCAGGACCAUCUGCUAAGGCUAAAUACUACCUGGCGACCGAUAGUGAAACAGUACCGUGAGGGAAAGGUGAAAAGCACCCCGGAAGGGGAGUGAAAUAGAACCUGAAACCGUGUGCUUACAAAAAGUCAGAGCCCGAUCUAUGGGUGAUGGCGUGCCUUUUGUAGAAUGAACCGGCGAGUUACGUUUAACAUGCAAGGUUAAGCCGAGAAGGUGGAGCCGCAGCGAAAGCGAGUCUGAAUAGGGCGACUUAGUAUGUGGACGUAGACCCGAAACCG